UCAAGAAGUAUGUAUUAUCUCACUACACCUCUGUCAUAAUAUGUCAGCAUAUCUAGAUGUCUGUUUUCUAUGAAAUUUGUAAUCAGAGAUGGAUAUCAUCACUUUCAAUACUCUGCUAAUUGACCAAACUCUGCAUGGAAAAACUGCAGUUGGACAAACAUAGAUAUACCCAGGAUCUAGCUUUAAUGUUAGGUAAAUGAUUUGAUCUUUAGAAUGGUGUCCCAGGGAUGUACAUGUUGCUUUUAGCUACAGGCAACAACAGAAGGCAUAAGUGUUGCUUAGUUCCGUCUCCCCCCAGCGUAUCCUCUGUGUCUUGCUGUAAGAACAGGUGAACUUGAUGUUUGUGGACGGUACCAGCUGAAAUGCUGGGUUCACCUCCCUGUGGAGAAAACUGCUUGCUGAAUCUCCAGUGCAUUGCAAACAAAAUUAAACUUCUUGUAAAAGAAGAGAUAAGGCUGCUUACCCCAAACUGGAGCUUGCGAAACUGAUAAUUAAAAGAAGCCAGCUCAGUAGAAUUUCAGACAUGGCAAUGGAAUCUGCUCUAAUCAGUUCAGUCCCUACCACUGCAUCUCGUUUUGCCUUACUACAACUGGAAAGUGAUACUGAUUCAGAGCCUGGAAAAGGCAGAAGUGGCCGACGUGCUGGUAAAUCUCUAGCUUCAGAGUGUAGAUCUACAAAUGUGAAGAAAAGAGAGAAAAGAAGAAAAAAGGAGAGAACAGCAGCAGAGUGAGGCCAAUGAUGUAAAGGGAUUGUAUUUUCAACAGUGAGUAAGGUUGUUGUCUCAUCAAGAGUUUUUGCUGUCCCUGAAAAGUCAUUGGUUUUGGUUUUCCCUGUGAAAGAAGAACUACUUAAUCGCAGAUUA